rnacentral:rRNA from 1 species
GUAGUCAUAUGCUUGUCUCAAAGAUUAAGCCAUGCAUGUCUAAGUAUAAGCAAUUAUACAGCGAAACUGCGAAUGGCUCAUUAUAUAAGUUAUCGUUUAUUUGAUAGUACCUUACUACUUGGAUAACCGUGGUAAUUCUAGAGCUAAUACAUGCUAAAAAUCCCGACUUCGGAAGGGAUGUAUUUAUUAGAUUAAAAACCAAUGCCCUCUGGGCUCCUUGGUGAUUCAUAAUAACUUUUCGAAUCGCACGGCCUUGCGCCGGCGAUGGUUCAUUCAAAUUUCUUCCCUAUCAACUUUCGAUGUUUGGGUCUUGGCCAAACAUGGUCGCAACGGGUAACGGAGGGUUAGGGCUCGACCCCGGAGAAGGAGCCUGAGAAACGGCUACUACAUCCAAGGAAGGCAGCAGGCGCGCAAAUUACCCAAUCCCGAUUCGGGAGGUAGUGACAAUAAAUACUGAUACAGGGCUCUUUUGGGUCUUGUAAUUGGAAUGAGUACAAUUUAAAUCUCUUAACGAGGAACAAUUGGAGGGCAAGUCUGGUGCCAGCAGCCGCGGUAAUUCCAGCUCCAAUAGCGUAUAUUAAAGUUGUUGUGGUUAAAAAGCUCGUAGUUGAACCUUGGGCCUGGCUGGCCGGUCCGCCUCACCGCGUGCACUGGUCCGGCCGGGCCUUUCCCUCUGUGGAACCCCAUGCUCUUCACUGAGUGUGGCGGUGAAACAGGACUUUUACUUUGAAAAAAUUAGAGUGCUCCAGGCAGGCCUAUGCUCGAAUACAUUAGCAUGGAAUAAUAAAAUAGGACGCGUGGUUCUAUUUUGUUGGUUUCUAGGACCGCCGUAAUGAUUAAUAGGGACAGUCGGGGGCAUCAGUAUUCAAUUGUCAGAGGUGAAAUUCUUGGAUUUAUUGAAGACUAACUACUGCGAAAGCAUUUGCCAAGGAUGUUUUCAUUAAUCAGGAACGAAAGUUAGGGGAUCGAAGACGAUCAGAUACCGUCGUAGUCUUAACCAUAAACUAUGCCGACUAGGGAUCGGACGAUGUUAUUUUUUGACGCGUUCGGCACCUUACGAGAAAUCAAAGUGCUUGGGCUCCAGGGGGAGUAUGGUCGCAAGGCUGAAACUUAAAGAAAUUGACGGAAGGGCACCACCAGGGGUAAACCGCUUCGCGCAGCCGCAGUAGCUCUGCCCCAGAAAGCAGCCCGAAAGGGUCAGUGGUGUUCCUGCCAGCGCUCCGGCGCGGCGAACUAAUUGCUAGUCUCCUCUGGAGGCGACACCCUCAAAUUGCGGGAAAAUCCUAAAGCCAGUGUCACCAAGCCGGCGCCGAAAGGGCGUCGGUGGCCGGGGUAGCGACCUAGGGUACGGUAAAAGCACACUGGAUAAUGCAAUGGACGAUCCGCAGCCAAGCCUCGUCGCCG